rnacentral:ncRNA from 1 species
UCUAUCAGCUAUUGGCUUUAAACUUGCAGAACUAAAACUGCAUAAGUGAUAGGAUACCCUAUAGAAAGAGAAAGGCUAUUUUUUUCUAAGGUUUUUUAAAUCUCCCUUAUAAUUAAUUUUUGAGAGAAAUUUUGAGAGUUGAUUUAAGGAAAAAGAUUAAAAAACUUUUGCAAGGUAUAAAAAGUUAAAAAAUUUAGACAUUAAAGAUUAGAGAAUAGCCCUUUAAUCUUUUUUG